rnacentral:rRNA from 1 species
CAUGUAGGCGGCUUUUUAAGUCGAUUGUGAAAUCCCUUGGCUUAACCAAGGAACUGCAACCGAUACUGAGAGGCUUGAGUGCGGAAGAGGAAAGCGGAAUUCCCGGUGUAAGAGUGAAAUCUGUAGAGAUCGGGAGGAACACCAGUGGCGAAGGCGGCUUUCUGGUCCGCAACUCACGCUGAAAUGCGAAAGCUAGGGGAGCAAACAGGAUUAGAUACCCUGGUAGUCC